rnacentral:rRNA from 1 species
GAUGAACGCUGGCGGCGUGCCUAACACAUGCAAGUCGAACGGAGUCCAGCCUUUAAGACCUUCUGGUCAAAGAGGGGAAGACUGAGUGGCGGACGGGUGAGUAACACGUGGGCAACCUGGCUCAUAGAGGGGGAUAACAGAGAGAAAUUUCUGCUAAUACCGCAUAAGCACACACUGCCGCAUGGCAGAGGGUGAAAAGAGAAUCGCUAUGAGAUGGACCCGCGUCUGAUUAGCCAGUUGGCAGGGUAAGAGCCUACCAAAGCGACGAUCAGUAGCCGAUCUGAGAGGAUGAACGGCCACAUUGGGACUGAGACACGGCCCAAACUCCUACGGGAGGCAGCAGUGGGGGAUAUUGCAAAAUGGGGGGAACCCUGAUGCAGCGACGCCGCGUGAGUGAAGAAGUAUUUAGGUAUGUAAAGCUCUAUAAGCAGGGAAGAUAAUGACAGUACCUGAAUAAGAAGCCCCGGCUAACUACGUG